AUGAUGCAGCUCUGCUUAGUUUGGAUGAUCAUCUUCAUGGUUCACACUGGAUCCUCUGAGGAUUUAGUGAAACCAUUUAAAGAUGUAAUGCUGGCUUUGGAAGGAGACUCUGUGACUCUCUCCUGCAACUAUUCAGGCUCUGUAAACUACCUCUACUGGUAUCAACAGAAGUCCAGUUCAUCUCCACAGUUUCUCAUCAAAGAAUAUUUAGAGAAACCAGGUUUUUCUUUUGCACAUAACAAAACAGCAAAGGAGUUUCAUCUGCAGAUCUCCUCUGCUGCAAAUGCUGGCUUUGGAAGGAGACUCUGUGACUCUCUCCUGCAACUAUUCAGGCUCUGUACAAAACCUCUGCUGGUAUCAACAGAAGUCCAGUUCAUCUCCACGUUUCUCAUCAAAGAAUAUUUAGAGAAACCAGGUUUUUCUUUUGCACAUGAGAAAACAGCAAAGGAGUUUCAUCUGCAGAUCUCCUCUGCUGCAGUGACAGACUCUGCUGUGUACUACUGUGCUCUGCAGCCCACAGUGACAGGAAACACCAAAACUCUGUACAAAAACCUUUGGAGCAAAGAACACUUGUAG